AGGAUUAUUUAUCUAUAAACAAUAAGUGUAGCUAAAUUUAAAUAAAAUAUUUUAUGGUUUUAGUAGGGUUUCUGAAAAGAUUUUUUUAGAGAUAGAUUAGUAGUAUCGUAAGAGAAUAUUUAUUUUUAUAAAAAAGAAAAAUUUAUAUUUUGUACCUUGUGUAUCAGGGUUUAUCAAAAAAAGAAUAAAAAUUUAUUUUUCUCGAAUUUAGAAGGGUUAUUUAAUUAUUAAUUUUAUUGUAGCAAAAAUAUUUAAAAUAAUUAAAUAGAGAUGAAACGUUAAUCGAUUUUAAUUAUAUCUAGUUUUUUAAGAAAAAAAUUUAAUUUUAUUUUAUUAAAAUAUAGCUUUAUUUUUAUAGAUUUAUAUUUGGUAGUUUAAAUAACCUGAGGGUUGAGCUUUAGGUUAAAUUUAUAUAACAAGUUUUUGCUGUUAUUAAUAAGGAGGAUUUAAAGUUUCUACUUUAGUGAUUUAUAUCUUGUUUAAUUGUGUCUAAGAUUUUUUAUUUUUGUUUAUAUUUUUUAUUAAAAUUUAUAUUGUAAUAGUUUUAGUUUAGAAAAAAUGAUGAAAUUAGUAUAUUUUUAUUUAUUUAUAAAAGAGGCUUGAAGGUUUAGUUAAGGAAUUCGGCAAAUUUGUUUCUCACCUGUUUAAUAAAAACAUGGCCUUUUGAUUAUAAUUUAAGGUCUGGCCUGCCCAAUGAUUAAUUAAAUGGCCGCGGUAUACUGACCGUGCAAAGGUAGCAUAAUCACUAGUUUUUUAAUUGGAAGCUUGAAUGAAAGGUUGGAUGAAGAAACUACUGUCUCAAUUAAAAUUUUUUAGAAUUUUAUUAUUUUGUAAAAAGGCUAAAAUUAUUAUAAAAGACGAGAAGACCCUAUAGAGUUUUAUAAUUUGUAUAGAAAGGGUAAUUAGAAUAGAUUUCUUUAUUUGUUUAAAUUAUUUGGUUGGGGUGAUUGAAAAACUUAAUUAACUUUUUUUCAAAGAUUACAUAUAUUUAUGAAUAUUUGAUCCUUAUAAAAGAUUAAAAGAAAAAAUUACCUUAGGGAUAACAGCGUUAUUUUUCUUGAGAGUUCUUAUCGAAAGAAGAGUUUGCGACCUCGAUGUUGGAUUAAAAUUUAGGUUUGGUGGAGAAGCUAAACUUUUAGGUCUGUUCGACCUUUAAAAUUUUACAUGAUCUGAGUUUAGACCGGCGUGAGCCAGGUUGGUUUCUAUCUUUAUAAUAGAUAAUAAUUUUUAGUACGAAAGGACCAAAAUUAUACUAAAUUAGUUUAUAAUUUGAAUAAUAUUAAUGUUUCUUAAACUUUUAGUGAAAAAUUUAAAUUUUUUUUUAGCUUAUGCAAGAAGCUCUGAUAAUAAAGUAUUUAAUUAAAAUUAUUAUUGAUAUAAGUUGGGCUAUUUGUGAAUUGACAUUUUGUUAGUUGAUUUUGGGUGAGUCAAUAAUUUUUAGUACGAAAGUUUUACUGAAA
rnacentral:rRNA from 1 species